GGGUUGUGAGGUUAAGCGACUAAGCGUACACGGUGGAUGCCCUGGCAGUCAGAGGCGAUGAAGGGCGUGCUAAUCUGCGAUAAGCGCCGGUAAGGUGAUAUGAACCGUUAUAACCGGCGAUACCCGAAUGGGGAAACCCAGUGUGACUCGUCACACUAUCAUUAACUGAAUCCAUAGGUUAAUGAGGCGAACCGGGGGAACUGAAACAUCUAAGUACCCCGAGGAAAAGAAAUCAACCGAGAUUCCCCCAGUAGCGGCGAGCGAACGGGGAGGAGCCCAGAGCCUGAAUCAGCAUGUGUGUU
rnacentral:rRNA from 3 species